AUUGAACGCUGGCGGCAGGCCUAACACAUGCAAGUCGAGCGAGCGGCGGACGGGUGAGUAAUGUCUGGGAAACUGCCUGAUGGAGGGGGAUAACUACUGGAAACGGUAGCUAAUAUCGCACACCAUCAGAUGUGCCCCGAUGGGAUUAGCUAGGAGGUGGGGUAACGGCUCACCUAGGCGACGAUCCCCAGCUGGUCUGAGAGGAUGACCAGCCACACUGGAACUGAGACACGGUCCAGACUCCUACGGGAGGCAGCAGUGGGGAAUAUUGCACAAUGGGCGCAAGCCUGAUGCAGCCAUGCCGCGUGUAUGAAGAAGGCCUUCGGGUUGUAAAGCACUUUCAGCGGGGAGGCGUUACCCGCAGAAGAAGCACCGGCUAACUCCGUGCCAGCAGCCGCGGUAAUAC
rnacentral:rRNA from 1 species